CUGGGACGUGGCUCCAGCUACGUGAGGGCGGGGAGGGGGGAGCUCCGCUGCUGCCGAGCGUGAGGCUAAGUCGGAGCCCGGAGGUUUAUGGGGCUGGCAGCCUCGAGACGGAAGUAUAAAUCAUCGUGGAUCUUGUUGGAAAAGUCAUUCUUUCUCAUACGAUUACUCAAAGGAUUUUGAAGAUUGAAUAGGUGACUGCACUAGGGAUGACUCUACUUGAAGUUUUACCAGCAGAUGCAAAAAGAAUGAGACCUUCUGACUGUCAUUGUUGCCAUCAGCAAGGAGCAGAACACCUGCUAAAGGAUUUGGACUUCUGGGAUAUUUUUGAUAUCAACUGAAAAAUGGCCACUGCUUGGAGGGACACCUGUCCUUUCACCAAUGCCAGCUCUUCAUGUUAACCCAGUACAGCACCAAUGGGGAACCUAAGAAGACACUGCUGACACUGGCAAUAGUGAAAGUCCUGUAACCACAUGAGCAUUGCACCUUCUGUUGCACUCCAGAUUCUGUUGCAGUCCUAUGAGUAUGUCUGAAAAAUUUAAGGCUUUUCUAUUAAAACAAAUGUUAAUGAGUGUCAGUGUUGCAUGUUUUUAAUUUUAAAUUAGAUGUUGCUAAACAGUCACAAAAUAAAGUUACCUGUUUUACUCA
rnacentral:lncRNA from 14 species